rnacentral:rRNA from 1 species
GAAUUCGCCCUUAGAGUUUGAUCCUGGCUCAGGACGAACGCUGGCGGCGCGCCUAACACAUGCAAGUCGAACGAGCGAGAGAGAGCUUGCUUUCUCGAGCGAGUGGCGAACGGGUGAGUAACGCGUGAGGAACCUGCCUCAAAGAGGGGGACAACAGUUGGAAACGACUGCUAAUACCGCAUAAGCCCACGGGUCGGCAUCGACCAGAGGGAAAAGGAGCAAUCCGCUUUGAGAUGGCCUCGCGUCCGAUUAGCUAGUUGGUGAGGUAACGGCCCACCAAGGCAACGAUCGGUAGCCGGACUGAGAGGUUGAACGGCCACAUUGGGACUGAGACACGGCCCAGACUCCUACGGGAGGCAGCAGUGGGGAAUAUUGCACAAUGGGGGAAACCCUGAUGCAGCGACGCCGCGUGGAGGAAGAAGGUCUUCGGAUUGUAAACUCCUGUUGUUGGGGAAGAUAAUGACGGUACCCACCAAGGAAGUGACGGCUAACUACGUGCCAGCAGCCGCGGUAAAACGUAGGUCACAAGCGUUGUCCGGAAUUACUGGGUGUAAAGGGAGCGCAGGCGGGAAGACAAGUUGGAAGUGAAAUCUAUGGGCUCAACCCAUAAACUGCUUUCAAAACUGUUUUUCUUGAGUAGUGCAGAGGUAGGCGGAAUUCCCGGUGUAGCGGUGGAAUGCGUAGAUAUCGGGAGGAACACCAGUGGCGAAGGCGGCCUACUGGGCACCAACUGACGCUGAGGCUCGAAAGUGUGGGUAGCAAACAGGAUUAGAUACCCUGGUAGUCCACACCGUAAACGAUGAUUACUAGGUGUUGGAGGAUUGACCCCUUCAGUGCCGCAGUUAACACAAUAAGUAAUCCACCUGGGGAGUACGACCGCAAGGUUGAAACUCAAAGGAAUUGACGGGGGCCCGCACAAGCAGUGGAGUAUGUGGUUUAAUUCGACGCAACGCGAAGAACCUUACCAAGUCUUGACAUCCCUUGACAGACAUAGAAAUAUGUAAUCUCUUCGGAGCAAGGAGACAGGUGGUGCAUGGUUGUCGUCAGCUCGUGUCGUGAGAUGUUGGGUUAAGUCCCGCAACGAGCGCAACCCUUAUGGUCAGUUACUACGCAAGAGGACUCUGGCCAGACUGCCGUUGACAAAACGGAGGAAGGUGGGGAUGACGUCAAAUCAUCAUGCCCUUUAUGACUUGGGCUACACACGUACUACAAUGGCGUUAAACAAAGAGAAGCAAGACCGCGAGGUGGAGCAAAACUCAGAAACAACGUCCCAGUUCGGACUGCAGGCUGCAACUCGCCUGCACGAAGUCGGAAUUGCUAGUAAUCGUGGAUCAGCAUGCCACGGUGAAUACGUUCCCGGGCCUUGCACUCACCGCCCGUCA